rnacentral:rRNA from 1 species
GACGAACGCUGGCGGCGUGCUUAACACAUGCAAGUCGAGCGGAAAGGCCACUUCGGUGGUACUCGAGCGGCGAACGGGUGAGUAACACGUGAGUAAUCGGCCCCUGGCUUUGGGAUAGCCACCGGAAACGGUGAUUAAUACCGGAUACGACCACUUCUCGCAUGGGAUGGUGGUGGAAAGUUUUUUCGGCCAGGGAUGUGCUCGCGGCCUAUCAGCUUGAUGGUGAGGUAAUGGCUCACCAUGGCUUCGACGGGUAGCCGGCCUGAGAGGGUGACCGGUCACACUGGGACUGAGACACGGCCCAGACUCCUACGGGAGGCAGCAGUGGGGAAUAUUGGACAAUGGGCGGAAGCCUGAUCCAGCAACGCCGCGUGAGGGAUGACGGCCUUCGGGUUGUAAACCUCCUUCAGCAGGGACGAAGCGCAAGUGACGGUACCUGCAGAAGAAGCACCGGCCAACUACGUGCCAGCAGCCGCCGUAA